AAAAUAGAGAGUUUGAUGAUGGCUCUAACUGAACACUGUCCAAGCACUUGACACAUGCUAAUCGAACGACUAAUUAGUUUAAUUAUUAUCUAAUAUUUAAAUUAAGUAGUAGUGGUGUACAGGUGAGUAAAAGAUAAAUUGGCUACCUUAAAGUAAGGGAAAAAAUCCCUUAUAACCAAAGGUUAAUAUUACCGCUUUAAGAUGAUAAUUUUUAUCUCGGUGAGUAGUAGGAAAGGUAAUGACUUUUCUAGCAAUAAACCGUAAUCGUAACUGGAAAGUUGAUCGACCACAUUGGGUCUGAAAAAAACCCAAUGCUUUUAUGUACAGCAGUGAGGAAUAUUGGUCAAUGGCCGAAAGGCUGAACCAGUAACUUGGAAGAAUGUCUAUGUAACUUGUAUGGUUACAUUCGCGAUUAACUCGCAUAAAAUUCUAAAUAGAUUGUAUAUUAUGACAUAAUCUAUUUAUAAGUCUUGACCAAACUACGUGCCAGCAGUCCGCGGUAAUACGUAGGAGGCUAGGGUUAGUUAUCUUUAUUGGGUUUAAAGGUAAGUAACGGUAAUUAACCUUAACGAGUACUUUUACUAGAGUUUGUGAACAAGGACAUUCUGGAGUUACAUAAAAUUGUGAUUCGGAGGCGUCACGGAAGCUCUCUUUUAUACGACUUAAAAAAGGUGGUACACCGGUUAUCCUAUUCCCCGAGACGAAGGCUUGGGUAGCAAACAGGAUUAGAUACCCUAAUAGUCCAAGCAGACAAUGAUGAAUGUCAUACAUUAGAUAUAAUUUUAAUGUAUAAACGAAAGUGUAAGCAUUCCACCUCAAGAGUACUAUGGCAACAUAUAAACUGAAAUCAUUAGACCGUUUCUAAAACCAGUAGUGAAGUAUGUUAUUUAAUUCGAUGAUCCGCGAAAAACCUUACCACAGCUUGUAUAGCAUAUUAUAAAAAAUUGUUACAAGCGCUGCAUGGCUGUCUUUAGUUAAUGCCGUGAGAUUUGGUUAAUUCCUUUAAUUAACGAAAACCCUCACUUUAUUUAUUUAUAUAAAGUGGUUCGCUACUACAUCGGACCAGAUAAUAGGGAUUAAGACAAGUCAUUAUGGCCUUAAUGCUGUGGGCUAUAGACGUGCCACAUACGCCUUUACAACGGGAUGCGAUAUUGUGAAAUGGAGCUAAUCCCCAAAAAAGGAAAUAAUAUGGAUUGUAGUCUGUAACUCGACUACAUGAAAAAGGAAUUACUAGUAAUCGUGAAUCACCAACGUCACGGUGAAUUUUAUCUUAGUUAGGUACUAACCACUCGUCAGGCGCUGAAAAAAGAAGAUGCAGUAAGUUUGAUUUUUUCUGUGUAAAGUUAUAUAUAUUUAUGAUAUAUAAAUAUGCAGGAUAGUUUUCGUAUGCAAAACUUUGAUUGGUGUUAAGUCGAAAUAAGGUUCGUGUAAUGGAAAUUGCACGAGGAGUACAAAA
rnacentral:rRNA from 1 species